rnacentral:rRNA from 1 species
UUAAAACUUUCAACAACGGAUCUCUUGGUUCUCGCAUCGAUGAAGAACGCAGCAAAAUGCGAUAAGUAAUGUGAAUUGCAGAAUUGUGAAUCAUCGAAUCUUUGAACGCACAUUGCGCCUUUUGGUAUUCCAAAAGGCAUGCCUGUUUGAGCGUGAUU